CUAGCGACUUCAGAGUUUGAUCCUGGCUCAGGAUGAACGCUAGCGGCGUGCCUAACACAUGCAAGUCGAACGGAGCCAAUUUUCAGAAGUUUUCGGACGGAAGAGAAGGAAGCUUAGUGGCGGACGGGUGAGUAACGCGUGAGCAAUCUGCCUUAUGGAGGGGGAUAACACAGAGAAAUCUGUGCUAAUACCGCAUAACAUAUCUAGAUGGCAUCGUUUAGAUAUCAAAGAUUUAUCGCCAUAAGAUGAGCUCGCGUCUGAUUAGUUAGUUGGUGGGGUAACGGCCUACCAAGACGACGAUCAGUAGCCGGACUGAGAGGUUGAACGGCCACAUUGGGACUGAGACACGGCCCAG
rnacentral:rRNA from 1 species